UAUAGUUUGAUCAUGGCUCAGAACGAACGCUGGCGGCAUGCCUAACACAUGCAAGUCGAACGAGACCUUCGGGUCUAGUGGCGCACGGGUGCGUAACGCGUGGGAAUCUGCCCUCUGGUACGGAAUAACUCAGGGAAACUUGAGCUAAUACCGUAUAAUGACUUCGGUCCAAAGAUUUAUCGCCUGAGGAUGAGCCCGCGUCGGAUUAGCUAGUUGGUGAGGUAAAGGCUCACCAAGGCGACGAUCCGUAGCUGGUCUGAGAGGAUGAUCAGCCAAACUGGGACUGAGACACGGCCCAGACUCCUACGGGAGGCAGCAGUGGGGAAUAUUGGACAAUGGGCGAAAGCCUGAUCCAGCAAUGCCGCGUGAGUGAUGAAGGCCUUAGGGUUGUAAAGCUCUUUUACCCGGGAUGAUAAUGACAGUACCGGGAGAAUAAGCCCCGGCUAACUCCGUGCUAGCCGCCGCGGUAAUAC
rnacentral:rRNA from 1 species